UACGGGGGGAGCAAGCGUUGUUCGGAUUUACUGGGCGUAAAGGGCGCGUAGGCGGCGUGACAAGUCACUUGUGAAAUCUCCGGGCUUAACUCGGAACGGUCAAGUGAUACUGUCGUGCUAGAGUACAGAAGGGGCAACUGGAAUUCUCGGUGUAGCGGUGAAAUGCGCAGAUAUCAGGAAGAACACCAAUGGCGAAGGCAGCUCUCUGGGACGGUACUGACGCUGAGACGCGAAAGCGUGGGGAGCGAACAGG
rnacentral:rRNA from 1 species